rnacentral:rRNA from 1 species
GUGUCAGCCGCCGCGGUAAUACGUAGGGCGCAAGCGUUGUCCGGAUUCACUGGGUGUAAAGGGUGCGUAGGCGGGAGAGUAAGUCCGCGGUGAAAUCUCACGGCUCAACCGUGAAACUGCCGUUGAUACUGCUUUUCUUGAGUUCGGGAGAGGUUGAUGGAAUUCCAGGUGUAGCGGUGAAAUGCGUAGAUAUCUGGAAGAACACCAGUGGCGAAGGCGGUCAACUGGCCCGAAACUGACGCUGAGGCACGAAAGCGUGGGGAGCGAACAGGAUUAGAAACCCGGGUAGUCC